rnacentral:rRNA from 1 species
AUGAACGCUGGCGGCGUGCCUAAUACAUGCAAGUCGAGCGAACAGACGAGGAGCUUGCUCCUCUGACGUUAGCGGCGGACGGGUGAGUAACACGUGGAUAACCUACCUAUAAGACUGGGAUAACUUCGGGAAACCGGAGCUAAUACCGGAUAAUAUAUUGAACCGCAUGGUUCAAUAGUGAAAGACGGUUUUGCUGUCACUUAUAGAUGGAUCCGCGCCGCAUUAGCUAGUUGGUAAGGUAACGGCUUACCAAGGCAACGAUGCGUAGCCGACCUGAGAGGGUGAUCGGCCACACUGGAACUGAGACACGGUCCAGACUCCUACGGGAGGCAGCAGUAGGGAAUCUUCCGCAAUGGGCGAAAGCCUGACGGAGCAACGCCGCGUGAGUGAUGAAGGUCUUCGGAUCGUAAAUCUCUGUUAUUAGGGAAGAACAAAUGUGUAAGUAACUAUGCACGUCUUGACGGUACCUAAUCAGAAAGCCACGGCUAACUACGUG